AUAUUGUGGAGCCCACAUAAUUGCAAUUAAAAUAUUAAUUUUUAAUAUUGUGGAGCCCAUAGGUCUCACAAUUUAAAAAGAAAAACCAUCCUUUUAUAUUUGUAUAUAUCCAUACGUCUCAGUUUUAUGUAAAGCAUCAUAAGGCCAUGCUUGCUGAUUUUAGGCUAACAUUUUUGAAUGUCGGUGGUUAAACACCUUGCCCUGUACUUUUUGAAACUCUUUCAAAGUUACCAUAUUAGUGCUGCGAUUUAUUGUGAUUACCCUUAUGGGCCUGGAUAAGAGGGCUUGUGCAUCCUCUGUUAUGAGUAAGACUAACAUUUCAAUGUAUGAAAUUUCACAGGACCGUCGCCUUGUUCCUGAGG
rnacentral:misc_RNA from 1 species